UACGGAGGGUGCAAGCGUUAUCCGGAUUUACUGGGUUUAAAGGGUGCGUAGGUGGGCCUGUAAGUCAGUGGUGAAAUCUCCGGGCUUAACCCGGAAACUGCCAUUGAUACUAUAGGUCUUGAAUUAUCUGGAGGUGAGCGGAAUAUGUCAUGUAGCGGUGAAAUGCUUAGAUAUGACAUAGAACACCAAUUGCGAAGGCAGCUCACUACGGAUAUAUUGACACUGAGGCACGAAAGCGUGGGGAUCAAACAGG
rnacentral:rRNA from 1 species